CGACUCCAUGAAGCUGGAUUCGCUAGUAAUCGCGCAUCAGCCACGGCGCGGUGAAUACGUUCCCGGGCCUUGUACACACCGCCCGUCAAGCCAUGGAAGCCGGGGGUGCCUGAAGUGCGCUGCCGCAAGGAGCGCCCUAGGGUAAAACCGGUGACUGGGGCUAAGUCGUAACAAGGUAAC
rnacentral:rRNA from 1 species